UGUAUGGGCGGUGGCGGGAAGUCGCUCACGAACACUGGUCCUUAUAGAAGUUUUUAAAAGCCAAGCAUCUCCCUAUUCACAAAUGUUGUAACGGUAAUACCCUUGUGUGCAGUGAAACUGACCACAUAUUACGGACUGCUACACUGACUGGCCUUGAAGAGAGGAAAGGGAUAAAGAGUGCUGUGAGUGAUCACAGGAGACAUUGCCUGGGCCUCUGAAACUUGGGCAGAACUUGCAAUAGUCCUAUAAUCACUGGAAUAUUUUGCUGCAAAUCACCUGUAGGUGAGGACUCAAGCCUAAGGGCUGCAUAAUUUAAGGGCCUUUGCUGAGGCUGUGCUAAAGGCUGAUUGAAAAUUGAAGUAAACUAUCUAAAGUUCUGUUGAAGGCUUCAGAAGACUUCCAAAACAUAUGAGGAAUAACUCACACUCAAAAAAGCUGUGUUGACUCUUCCUCCAAAGAUCUUAUUUAUACAUAGAUACAUUAAUUUUAUUCUUUAUUAUGAUUUCUACUAAUGUGCUCACUACAAUUGUCAGAGCCGAAACUAUAUUCUUUGAUUCUGUUAUUCUGUGUUCUGGAUUCUGUAAUCUGUAUUCUCUGAAUCUGAAAUUCCAUUAUUUUCCUUAGAAACUCUGUUAAACAUUAACAUAAUAUUAAUUAGUCCUCUGGUACAAAAAGGGUGUUAAUUGAGAAGUACACCACAGUUCUGCUAGUAAAUAAGAUUUUUGACUGGUUAUUUUUCUCAAGUUGAAUUUAUCUGUCCACAAAGAAAUAUCAGUCUGAGAAUCUCUCCGAGCUCUUCUAUAAUAAGCAUGGAAACAAAAUAUCAUUCAGUUUGGGGUUUUGGCUGUAUCUCCUCUACAUACUCCUUUUAUAUGCUAAUUCAUCUACCAGUCUUAUAGGCUCUGACAGCAUUCCUUGUUUUGUUGCAUUUGAAAAGUGAUUAUUAGGUUUUUUUUUUUCACGAGUUGUUGCUCAACUGCUUUUAAGCUUGUUUUACUGUAUUUUACAUUUAGCCUGCUAGCUUUUGAAAGAAAACUUUGUGUUC